rnacentral:rRNA from 1 species
UAGGGAAUCUUGCGCAAUGGGCGAAAGCCUGACGGAGCAACGCCGCGUGAGUGAUGAAGGUCUUCGGAUCGUAAAACUCUGUUAUUAGGGAAGAACAAAUGUGUAAGUAACUAUGCACGUCUUGACGGUACCUAAUCAGAAAGCCACGGCUAACUACGUGCCAGCAGCCGCGGUAAUACGUAGGUGGCAAGCGUUAUCCGGAAUUAUUGGGCGUAAAGCGCGCGUAGGCGGUUAUUUAAGUCUGAUGUGAAAGCCCACGGCUCAACCGUGGAGGGUCAUUGGAAACUGGAAAACUUGAGUGCAGAAGAGGAGAGUGGAAUUCCAUGUGUAGCGGUGAAAUGCGCAGAGAUAUGGAGGAACACCAGUGGCGAAGGCGACUUUCUGGUCUGUAACUGACGCUGAUGUGCGAAAGCGUGGGGAUCAAACAGG